AGACCCGAAACCCGGUGAUCUAGCCAUGGGCAGGUUGAAGGUUGGGUAACACUAACUGGAGGACCGAACCGACUAAUGUUGAAAAAUUAGCGGAUGACCUGUGGCUGGGGGUGAAAGGCCAAUCAAACCGGGAGAUAGCUGGUUCUCCCCGAAAGCUAUUUAGGUAGCGCCUCGUGAAUUCAUCUCCGGGGGUAGAGCACUGUUUCGGCUAGGGGGCCAUCCCGGCUUACCAACCCGAUGCAAACUGCGAAUACCGGAGAAUGUUAUCACGGGAGACACACGGCGGGUGCUAACGUCCGUCGUGAAGAGGGAAACAACCCAGACCGCCAGCUAAGGUCCCAAAGUCAUGGUUAAGUGGGAAACGAUGUGGGAAGGCCCAGACAGCCAGGAUGUUGGCUUAGAAGCAGCCAUCAUUUAAAGAAAGCGUAAUAGCUCACUGGUCGAGUCGGCCUGCGCGGAAGAUGUAACGGGGCUAAACCAUGCACCGAAGCUGCGGCAGCGAACGUAUCACUUAAAGUGAUUCAGCGGGUUACGAUUGACGGAGCGAAGCGACGUCAAAGCGUAUACAAAGUCGAGUCGGUUUAAGGAUACGUUCGUUGGGUAGGGGAGCGUUCUGUAAGCCUGUGAAGGUGGCCUGUGAGGGUUGCUGGAGGUAUCAGAAGUGCGAAUGCUGACAUAAGUAACGAUAAAGCGGGUGAAAAGCCCGCUCGCCGGAAGACCAAGGGUUCCUGUCCAACGUUAAUCGGGGCAGGGUGAGUCGACCCCUAAGGCGAGGCCGAAAGGCGUAGUCGAUGGGAAACGGGUUAAUAUUCCCGUACUUGGUGUUACUGCGAAGGGGGGACGGAGAAGGCUAUGUUGGCCGGGCGACGGUUGUCCCGGUUUAAGCGUGUAGGUGUGUGUUCCAGGUAAAUCCGGUU
rnacentral:rRNA from 1 species